rnacentral:rRNA from 1 species
UGGGGAAUAUUGCACAAUGGGCGAAAGCCUGAUGCAGCGACGCCGCGUGAGGGAUGACGACCUUCGGGUUGUAAACCUCUUUCAGCAGGGAAGAAGCCACACGUGACGGUACCUGCAGAAGAAGCGCCGGCUAACUACGUGCCAGCAGCCGCGGCAAUACGUAGGGCGCAAGCGUUGUCCGGAAUUAUUGGGCGUAAAGAGCUCGUAGGCGGUUUGUCGCGUCUGCUGUGAAAGCCCGGGGCUUAACCCCGGGUGUGCAGUGGGUACGGGCAGACUAGAGUGCAGUAGGGGAGACUGGAAUUCCUGGUGUAGCGGUGGAAUGCGCAGAUAUCAGGAGGAACACCGAUGGCGAAGGCAGGUCUCUGGGCUGUUACUGACGCUGAGGAGCGAAAGCAUGGGGAGCGAACA